UACGUAGGGUGCGAGCGUUGUCCGGAAUUAUUGGGCGUAAAGAGCUCGUAGGCGGUGUGUCACGUCGGCCGUGAAAACCUGCAGCUUAACUGUGGGCGUGCGGUCGAUACGGGCAUCACUGGAGUUCGGCAGGGGAGACUGGAAUUCCUGGUGUAGCGGUGAAAUGCGCAGAUAUCAGGAGGAACACCGGUGGCGAAGGCGGGUCUCUGGGCCGAUACUGACGCUGAGGAGCGAAAGCGUGGGGAGCGAACCGG
rnacentral:rRNA from 1 species